rnacentral:rRNA from 1 species
UCGAGAAUCUUCCGCAAUGGACGCAAGUCUGACGGGGCGACGCCGCGUGUAGGAUGAAGGCCCUCGGGUUGUAAACUACUGUCACACUUUACGAACGCCCAGGAGUGAAUAGCUCUCUGGGGAGACCAAGGUGAAAGGAAGCACAGGCUAACUCCGUGCCAGCAGCCGCGGUAAUACGGAGUGUGCAAGCGUUACUCGGAAUCACUGGGCAUAAAGCGCACGUAGGCGGGCUUUCAAGUCGGUUGUGAAAUCCCUCAGCUUAACUGAGGAACUGCGACCGAUACUGCUUGUCUUGAGGACGAGAGGGGAGAGUGGAACUUCUGGUGGAGCGGUGAAAUGCGUAGAUAUCAGAAGGAACACCGGUGGCGAAAGCGACUCUCUGGCUCGUAUCUGACGCUGAGGUGCGAAAGCUUGGGUAGCAAACGGGAUUAGAUACCCCCGUAGUCC